rnacentral:rRNA from 1 species
GUACCUGCGGAGGGAUCAUUACUGAGUUUACGCUCUAUAACCCUUUGUGAACAUACCUAUAACUGUUGCUUCGGCGGGUAGGGUCUCCGUGACCCUCCCGGCCUCCCGCCCCCGGGCGGGUCGGCGCCCGCCGGAGGAUAACCAAACUCUGAUUUAACGACGUUUCUUCUGAGUGGUACAAGCAAAUAAUCAAAACUUUUAACAACGGAUCUCUUGGUUCUGGCAUCGAUGAAGAACGCAGCGAAAUGCGAUAAGUAAUGUGAAUUGCAGAAUUCAGUGAAUCAUCGAAUCUUUGAACGCACAUUGCGCCCGCCAGCAUUCUGGCGGGCAUGCCUGUUCGAGCGUCAUUUCAACCCUCAAGCUCUGCUUGGUGUUGGGGCCCUACAGCUGAUGUAGGCCCUCAAAGGUAGUGGCGGACCCUCCCGGAGCCUCCUUUGCGUAGUAACUUUACGUCUCGCACUGGGAUCCGGAGGGACUCUUGCCGUAAAACCCCCAAUUUUCCAAAGGUUGACCUCGGAUCAGGUAGGAAUACCCGCUGAACUUAAGCAUAUCAAAA